AUUUUUACAAUGCAUUUUGGUUUUUUAUGUGAAUAAAAAUUAAAAGGGAAUUUGGUGUAAAUCCAAAACUGUUCCCGCAACUGUAAAGUUCGUUUUAAAAAACAUCAAUGUGCCACUGCUUAACGAUUAAGUGGGAAGGCGAUAUUUUUAGAACUAAGUCAGGAGACCUGCCAAAAUUCAUUAAAUAAUU
rnacentral:ncRNA from 1 species